GUGCUCACUUAGACAGCACAUAUACUAAAAUUGGAACGAUACAGAGAAGAUUAGCAUGGCCCCUGCACAAGGAUGACAGACAAAUUCAUGAAGCAUUCCAUAUUUUU